CUAGAAAGCUUCCUCUGCUGUGAAAAGAGAUCCAAAGACAGCAGGGGUGGGGUGUGGCUACUGAUGGACAAAGGACCUUGCACUUCCUCACUGGGGGGUCCUGGUGGAUCAUCCCAUCUCUCAAACAUGGUGCAUUAAUACUGAGACCCUCCUAGAAUCCAGAUCCCUUAGAGCUUCCAGCCUCACCGGGUCAUAGUCAGAACUGGGAGACACAAUUAAAGAGCUUUGUUCCCAGCCUACACAGAAGGCCCACCCUUGCCACCUUCUGCGGGCACAAGGGGGAUGAGCCUCAUUGCUCUGUCCCACCGUGCCAUAGUAGUGAUUAGGGAGACCUGACAGACGAUUUAACUUUUCUAAGACAAAAGAGGGGGGAGUGUGUCUUAACCUAUGUCACCGGGUCAUGUUCUUGCAAUUUCAGGUGAAGCAAGCACGGGAAGCUAUGAGUGUUUCCAGUUUUCAAUAGAGAGAUUACAUCUCAAAAUCCCUAGAUUCCACGAGCAUCCAAUAAAACCUGUUAAUAGUGCCUUUUAUUGAUAGUAUUAAUACUUCCUUUAUCUGGAGAUAGUCAGAAAUGGCAGCCUAGAGCCGUGGUUCUCAAGCUUUGGAGCAUAGCACAGCACAAAGGGGCCCCGAUAAAACCGCAGACUGCUGGGCCUCAUGACAAGACUUCUCCUUUCAGAGCAGUUCCCAAGCAAUGCUGAAGCUGCCGGUCCAGGGCUCUAAAGCUUCAAAGCCACUUUUUGCCUUCUCUUCACAGAUGUCACAACUAGCCACGAGAGCCUGUUAUAGCCCUUCAAGUUAUCACAGACCCGUGGCCGGAACUUCAAGCCUGCCUUCAUCAGCGAGACUGUCCACUGAGGUGGUUUCCAAACCAACCUUGCAAAUUGUAAGCGCCCCUC
rnacentral:lncRNA from 1 species